rnacentral:rRNA from 1 species
UACGUAGGGCGCAAGCGUUGUCCGGAAUUUAUUGGGCGUAAAGAGCUCGUAGGCGGUCUGUCGCGUCGGCUGUGAAAACCCGAGGCUCAACCUCGGGCCUGCAGUCGAUACGGGCAGACUAGAGUGCUGUAGGGGGAGACUGGAAUUCCUGGUGUAGCGGUGAAAUGCGCAGAUAUCAGGAGGAACACCGGUGGCGAAGGCGGGGUCUCUGGGCAGUUUUUGCUGACACUGAGGCGCGACAGCGUGGGGAGCAAACAGGG